GCGUCGGUGGUGCAACGGUUAGCAUACACUCCCGGAAAGAGUGAGAUCUGGGUUCGAAUCCUCCCGCUUGACGCA